rnacentral:lncRNA from 1 species
CAACAUCGAUCACCAUGAAGUCCACGGUAGUAAGAUCGCCAUGGCUAGCGCUAGCCCUCGUCCUCUCCCUGUGCCUCUCCCUCUCGUUCGCGUCGUGGGAUGCCGAGGACGAAGGUAGGGGUAGUAGGAGGUGGCAAGAAGGGGGCGACGAAAGGCGGUCCGGCGAAAGUGGCCGGCCGUACCACUUCGGCGAGGAGAGCUUCCGGGAGUGGGCCAAGUCGCGGCACGGCCACUUCAAGGUGCUGGAGCGGUUCGACCACGAGCUGCUCCGGGGCUCCAUCGGCGACUACCGCGUGGCGUGCCUCGACGCGGCGCCGCGCGCGUUCCUGCAGCCCAGCCACUACGACGCCGACGAGAUCGCCUUCGUGAGGGAAGGCGAGGGCGUGCUGGUGCUGCUGAGGAACGGGAAGCGGGAGUCGUUCUGCGUCAGGGAGGGCGACGUGUUCGUGAUCCCGGCCGGGUCCAUCGUGUACUCCGCCAACACGCACCGCUCCAAGUGGUUCCGGGUCGUCAUGCUCCUCAACCCCGUCUCCACGCCGGGCAGCUUCCAGGUGAGCCAUGCAUGGCCGCAGCAUGCAAGCUCCUCCGCCAUCUGCGUUGCAUGCAACGACUUACUUUUGGUAUCUGUUCUUGAUACGUUUGUAGGAGUUCUCCCCUAUUGGGUUUGGAGGCGAGCAGCCGCAGUCGUUCUUCAGCGUAUUCAGCGACGAGGUUAUCCGGGCGGCAUUUAACGUACGUACGCGCUGACCAUCGGCACUGAUUUUUGUUUGUUUGUUUGUUCAUCGCUUGAUUCAGCUCGAUCUUAUGCUUGUACGCGCUGACCGUCUGCAUGCAUGUGUUUCAAUAGACUCGGCAGCGGGAGGAUGUGGACAGAGUGUUCGAGACGAAGAGCAGAGGUGAGGGUCAGAUAUCUGAGGGGUCGGAGGAGCAGAUACGGGAGCUGAGCAGGUCGUGCUCCAGGGGAGGACGCGGCGGUGGCGGCGGGUCGGGUUCCGAGAAGGAGGACAUCCAGCCGCGCAGCCUCACCGGCGAGAAGCCCCGCUACUCGAACAAGCACGGCAGGUUCCACCAGAUCACCGGCGACCAGUGCCACCACCUCCGCAAGCUCGACAUGGAUGUCACCCUCGUCAACAUUACCCGGGUAAAGCAUCCGCGCCGCACAUACAGAUAGUUUUGUAGCAUCAUGCAACGGGACGGAUUGGUGCUGGACCUAAGCGCCUAAGCCAAUGUGUGUGUUUCGUCGUGCGUGCAUGCAUGCAGGGCUCGAUGACGGCGCUGAGGUACACCACCCGGUCGACCAGGAUCUACAUCGUCGUGGAGGGGCGCGACGGCUACUUCGAGAUGGCGUGCCCGCACGUCUCCAGCUCCGGCCGUUCUGAACGCCGGGAGCACGAGCAGGAGCGCGAGCGCGAACACGGACACGGCAGGAGAAGCGAGGAGCGCGGGCAGGAGCACGGCAGGAGGAGCGAGGAGGAGGAGCACGGCCACGGCGGCGAGCAGGAGAAAUCGAGGGGCUACAGGCAGGUGAGGG